AGUUUGAUUAUGGCUCAGGACGAACGCUGGCGGUGUGCCUCAUACAUGCAAGUCGAACGAGAAACUGGAGCUUGCUCCAGUGGAAAGUGGCGGACGGGUGAGUAAUGUGUAGAAAAUCUGCCCUAGAGAGGGGGACAACAGAGGGAAACUUCUGCUAAUACCCCAUAUGAGCUUGGUUGAAAUACCAAUCUUGAAAACUCCGGUGCUCUAGGAUGAGUCUGCAUCUGAUUAGCUAGUUGGUGGUGUAAUGGACUACCAAGGCGACGAUCAGUAGCUGGUUUGAGAGGAUGAUCAGCCACAAUGGGACUGAGACACGGCCCAUACUCCUACGGGAGGCAGCAGUAGGGAAUUUUGCGCAAUGGGGGAAACCCUGACGCCAGCAACACCGCGCGAACGUUAAGCCCUUCGGGGUAUAAAGUUCUGUCACUGGGGAAGAAUAAAUGACUGUACCCAGAGAGGAAGCACCGGCUAACUCCGUGCCAGCAGCUGC
rnacentral:rRNA from 1 species